GAAUCUAUUAGAAUUUUCUAAAAUGGAGCCCAUUUGUCUUUUCAGUCUUGCAAGUAAAGUCUUUAAAACAAUUAACCCUCCCAAUGAUUUAACCAUAUUUUCUUACCCCCCCAAUAAUAUUUACAAAGAAAUAAUAACGUGAAUUUUUUAAAACACUGUCCUUCAGUUGUUAUAAAUGAUAGUUCAUUCUUGGUAAGUAUAUCUGUAACAAAAUACUGGGGAAGGACAUGAGGUGUGGUGAGCACUUAAAAUUCUGCCAACCAGCUUAAAUACAUAAUCUAAAUUUAACCCAUGUAACACCUCUUCUAGGUAGACAGCAUUCUCCCUAUAUUCAGAUGAGAAAACUGAGUCAAAGAAUAAGUAACUUGCCCAAGAUUACACAGCUAGUACAUGACAGAACUGAGAUUCACUCUGCAAUCUGUAGACUUCCAGUAACUCCAAACCUCAUACUUUUUCUUUUAUGUUACACUGACUCUGUUUUUAAUGGAAUAUUUAAAUGAGAUAUUUAAGUGGGAAAGUAAUAGACAACCACUCUUACCUGUUAAAAUCCAGAGUAAUUCUCUGUUUUUUAAAUGGAGCAUAUUUAAAAAACUUUGUGCACCAGUUUGAACUACCACUGCAACAGAGAAAUACUAGAACAUCAGAGUAUUCUCUAAACCAGAUCAUUAUUUCAUUCACUUUGAUUGAAUUGAGUUUAUUUUAAAAAGACUUCUGGAUGCAUGGAAAACAUAUAUAUUUUGCAGCACUCAGAAUCAUUAAAAAGUACCUUCAGCCACUUUGGUUCAGGUUCUAAAGAUUCAUGUAAUGAACAUCCAUAGUAGUUUUGGGCUCACAGUUAUCUAAUGAGAAUGUUUUCUUGAUGACUUGACAUUUCUCCGUCAGUGUUGGAUAAUCAGAGAAAAAAAGGACUGUUCAGAACACCAAGGUGCUUGGUACAGUUAUGCCAAGUACCCUGUCUUUAAAGGGAGUAGUCUAAUUCUCAGCAUUUGGGAGUUUUUGACUGCGUGUGUGGAUAUGAUUUGUAUUUCCUAUUUAUUAAUAUAUAUGUGAAGAUACAAUACUGACAAGUAUGUAGAUUUGGAGGUUUUGCGGUACUGAGGGGAGUUGGGGGAAGAAUGGAAAUACCAUUGACCUCCUAAAAAGUUCAGUUACUUGCAAAGUUUGGGAGGUGACAUCAAAAACUCAACUGCCCUUACAAUAGUCAUUCCAUCUGUCUGUUGCUUAUUUGAAUUCUCUUUUAUUUUUACUUUAUGGCACUAAAAUACAAUAAGUCUGUCAAUUAUUUUAUGUCUUUUAUAUUAGUAGUAGCUUAAGAUUGGGUCACUUCAUUUCGGUAGAUAUAAUUGUUAGUAUUAUCCUUCAGGACAAAAAGCAUCUGCUAACAACCUGUGAUUUAAAAAUAUAGGCCAACUUUAUGUUCAAACAUUAUGUUGAUAAUAUUUUUAGCAGUAUUACACAGUGGAGGUCCAAAUUGGAUUAGACUUUUGCAUUGAAUUCCAAAGUAUUGGUAAGUCUAGCACAUACUAUAAAGUCUUGCUAAAUUCUUGUGGGUACAUUAUUUUUAAAACCUGUCUGUCUGUCGGUAUCACACAGAGGUCACUUCUUGAGUAAAAUAAGAUGACCUUAAGAAUUCACAUAAUUCUUGAAGAAGAAUAUAAGUCAUGAUGCUUCCACAUAAGGCCGUGUCACACCACCACCGUUUGGAAAUCCAGCACCUCAGCCGUUUUACCAAGAUAACAGUGCAGCACUUAGUGUGGUUGAAUGUGUCAUGUGGGAAUGAUUUUUGGUCGCCUUUUCAGUUCAUUGUUAGUCCUUUUAUGUUUGUGUGCAUCUGUGUUCGUCUGUGUGUUUGGUAAAUAUGAAUUGAAUAGAUGACUUCUUAUUUUAUGUUUUAGGCCAAGAUUGACAGACACCUAAUAUUCAUGACUUGAGAAUAUUCUGCAGCUAUAAAUUUUGAACCAUUGACGUGCAAAGCAAGACCUGAAGCCCACUCCGGAAACUAAAGUGAGGCUCGCUAACCCUCUAGAUUGCCUCACAGUUGUUUGUUUACAAAGUAAACUUUACAUCCAGGGGAUGAAGAGCACCCACCAGCAGAAGACUUUGCAGAACCUUUAAUUGGAUGUGUUAAGUGUUUUUAAUGAGUGUAUGAAAUGUAGAAAGAUGUACAAGAAAUAAAUUAGGAGAGAUUACUUUGUAUUGUACUGCCAUUCCUACUGUAUUUUUAUACUUUUUGGCAGCAUUAAAUAUUUUUGUUAAAUAGUC
rnacentral:sRNA from 1 species